CCUCUAGUGGGGACAUCUCGUCGCCCCGCGUGACCAACGAUCUCACCGUCUUCCCCUCCUACCACGAGGCAAGAACCCCUCCAAACCCUAGCCUCCUACCGCCUGGUUCCUUCUCCAAAUCUACGGCCCACCCCUCGACCGAUCAGGGCAAGAGCUGACAGAAAUAGGAAAAGAAAGUGAGGUCCCUGUGUACGAUGAUGGCCUCCCAAUGUUGUGGAAAAUAAUAUCUCACGUGAUCUCUCAUGGAACCAAAAAAGAAUAAUUGAAUAGGGCAAUAUAAGGGCCACUAGGGAAUCAAAGAAUGACAUAAGUGAAGCUAUAAAUGAAGGACGUAACUGAUAGGAGUUUUGUUCAUGUCAGUAAUUGAGUGGGACAAAUGAAAGAAAGUAGCGACUCCAACUUGAUCUAAGAUGUUCCGGUGAUCGGUUUUGUCCAUAACAUGGUUGACACAUUCUUUUCAUAUGGAAGUUGAUGUCAGCUUGGGGAUCAAAGACUUGGUCUCUUCCAUAAAUUCUUUUGCUGUAGUGGUCGAACAUUUGGUAUCAUAGGAACUUGACCAUCAUAUUUUGUAAGAGGCCACAACCUGAGUGUUGACUUCUGUAUUUUCUUAAUGGUUGUAGGUAACCUGAGUAUGUAUAGGUAUUGGGAAAAUAUUCUAUAUAUGUUGAUUGAAUGCAUUGAUCAAUAAUAUCUUGUGAUUGGGUACUUAACCUGAAA